rnacentral:rRNA from 1 species
UACGAAGGGGGCUAGCGUUGUUCGGAAUUACUGGGCGUAAAGGGCGCGUAGGCGGUUUUUUAAGUCAGGUGUGAAAGCCCCGGGCUCAACCCCGGAACUGCAUUUGAUACUGAGGAGCUUGAGUCCGGGAGAGGUGAGUGGAAUUCCCAGUGUAGAGGUGAAAUUCGUAGAUAUUCGGAAGAACACCAGUGGCGAAGGCGGCUCACUGGCCCGGUACUGACGCUGAGGUGCGAAAGCGUGGGGAGCAAACAGG